GAGCCGCUCCGAGGGGCCCACCCGCGAGCAGCGGGGAAGGCGGGGACCCGGGCCCCGCGGGCCUGCAGCGCCCCCGCACCCGGUUCCACGCGCCCAGGGCCGCCCCCGCGGAGAGAGGGGGCGCGAGGGGCGCGCCUCUCGCUCGGACACCCUCUCCCAGCUCGCGCCCCAGGUGAGAAAAUGAAGGCACAGAGAGAUUGAGUAACUUGCACAAGGUCACAUGUAGGAGAACUGAGCAUCCACCCUACUCAGCCUGGCCCCAAGGUCCAAGGUAACUUAAACCCAAUUAUAAAUGGCUUUGGCUAUAAAGUGUUCUUGAAUGAAAACGUUUAGGAAGUAGGCCUGGAUUCAGAUGCUUCAGAGGCUCAAAGGAAACAGGAAUCGUGGCUAACCAAAUCCAGCCCAACUGCUUCCUUGUUCACAUGGGGAAAUCGAGGAAGGCCCGGGGAGAGGAAGGCCUGGGGAGAGGAAGUUACUUGCCCAAGUUGCCCAGUUAAUUAGCCACAGAACCCAUGUCCCCCAACUCUGAAACAAGUUCCAGUUAAAGUCUUCACUGAUAACUUUAAAUCCUCCACUAACCAAGGGAGUCAUCUUUGCAUUUGCACAGAGGAGAUGGGAAAAUCACAAAGCCCUUAAGGUCCAGAAGAAAUGAGUGUCACUACGUUGGGCUCCCAGGCUGUGCAACAAGCUGUGGACGGAGAUGUCCGGGCAGGGAGCCCGGUCCAGCUCCCCACCCAUCGCAUCAUGGAGUCAGCCGUCUCCUCUGGGGACUGCACCCUCUGGGUGCUGAGAAAUCCAAAUGGCUCUUUCUCAUGCAGCCGCCCCAAGUGGGCAGGAUGGCCCUUCUCUUGAUUUGUUUCCUGCUUACUUUGUGAGAGUCAAAGUGCAUCCUUCAGGACCAAAGUGGCCAAGGGGCCAGCAUGUUAUUUAGAGUGAUCAAAAUGGACCAUUUUCAACUUGGCCCUAUUUCAGCUCCAGAGCUGUGGUUUCCACUUGCUUUUACUUAUCUGUAUUUUCUAACAUUUCUUUAGCAAAUUUGUAUUACUUUGGCAAUUAGAAAAAAUGACCAGUAAUUUUUAUAAAAGGAUUUGUGUUUGAUUUCCUUUCAGAAAGGCACUUUCAUUUAUUAAAAGAUCACAAUGAGAAGUGAAAUUAAGUUGAUCUUUCUCUCUGGCAAGGAUGUGUGGGGAGGAAUGGGGAGGUGAAUGCUGGGAGCAGAAGCCACAGCUGCAGAGCACUGCAGUGAGUGAAGGCUAGAUCAGGAGACUGGACCAGGAGGCUGGACCAAUUGGCUCUGUGGUCCUAGGCAAGUCACUCAGUGUCUCUGGGUUUCUAUUGCUAGAUGUUUGGUUUCAUUAUUUCUGGAGUUCUUUCCAGGAAUUCUCUGUAUGGAUACAGUCUUUGAGCUUUAGUGAACGUUCAUAUACGCUGUAGGAGAACAUGUAAUGGCUCAGAAAUGUGUUCAGCAUAAAUUCUGUUUGUCUUUGCGGUCCUGUGAGACUGCUGAAAGUUCUGCUCAGCUUCUCUGCUUCUUAGCAUUUGGUUUCUUCUCAGCUUCUCAGUCUCUCCGUUUAGCUCUUUAUGAAUUGGCAAAUUCAUGGAAAAGAGCACAUAGAAUGUCAGGCCCCUGCUCCAUUCAUUUCUCUUCACCCUGAGAUCUUGAUCCCUCAAGUUCUGGCUUCCUGGAUAGCUCUUUCGUGCCUUCUAACAGAUUUUUAUUUUCUUUGAACAAUUCUACCCAGGUUUUCUAAUUGUUUAUGGAGAAGAUUGAUCUUCACAAGCUAGUUUUUUCAUAGGCAAAAGCAAAAGUCUCUUCCUGUGUUAUUAAGUGAAAAUGGCUGAUUAUAAAAAGGCCCUGGGUCAGGAGGUUGCCGAUUCCAGGAAGAAUCAGACCUUAUCCCUGCCCUUGAGUCUCAAGAAGAGGAAAGGAAAACAAAUAAGCAUAGUACAGUGUGAAAAGUGGGACUGUGGUCAAAUUUCAGUCUGCAAACUCAGAAUGGAUGAAAUAUGAAAGACUGACAACAUCAAGUUGUCAAGUAGGACAGGAUGUGGAACCACUGGAACUCAUACGUGACUGAUGGGAAUGCAAAAUGAUACCGAUCCCUUGGAAAACUCCUUGGCAACUUUAAUAAACAUAAAUCUACCCUAUGAUCCAGAAAUUCCACUCUGAGUCACGUCUCCAAGAGCAAUGAAAAUAUAUACCCACAAAAGACUGCACAUAAAUCAGAACAGCAUUGUUGAUAAUAGCCCAAACUGGAAACAACCUAAAUAUUCACCAAUAGAAGCCUGAAUAAAUUCAUACUGUGGGAUACUCUACAGCAAUGAGGUAGAUGAACUAUUACUGCCUACAACAACAUGAAAGAAAGUAAAAGUCACUACUUUGAUAAUUAUAAACACAAAAAAGUAAACAUAUCAUUCUAUUCAUAUGAAGAGUUAUCUAAAUAAUUAGUAAAAUUGAUCUAUGAUUUUAGAAGUGGUACCUCUGGAGGAGAAGGAGGGGUACUGUUACUGACUGAGAAGGGAGUUCUGGAAAAAUUCUAUACUUUGAUCUUUGGGAUGGUUACACAGAUGUAUAGACAGGCAAAAAUUCAUUGAACUUUACAUUUAUUAUUUGUACAUUUUACCAUAUGCAAAUUGUCCCUCAAUUUAAAAAAUCUCAUUUUCCUUAAAAAAACACAGAGGCAAACAUUUCAAAAACAAUAUCUCACCUUAGAUGAGAU
rnacentral:lncRNA from 1 species